AGCAAACAUUAGAAAGAGGUUGAAGAAAACAGAAAACCAGAGUAGGGACAGAAGGUCUUCUUCACCUAAGCUCUGUAUGGAUUUAUCUCUUUUUGUUGUACUUGUGUUAUGAUGGUCAUAUUAUAUAGAAACAUGGCUAUCCUCUGAAGUCUGUGUAGAACCAAGGGCACUGUAUGACAGGUGAGGCCAGGGAAGAAACUGUCAACUGUUGGAGAGGAGGCUUCAAUUUAGUUCAUAAUACGUGUUGGCCUCUCUUGAUCUAUACUUUAGAUAGUCUGGUACAAAGCAAUAUAGUGUUAGGUGCUGGCUACUAUGAAACACUCAAGAAAUAACAAACUUUUAUGAAGAAAUCAUCAGUAACCCAAGAAAUUGUGAAUACGAAUACAUUAGCAUCUCUGGCUGAAUGAGUACCUAGCAGCAACCUCACAAUAUAUCUAAGGACAAGAGAAAUAAGUUCAGAAAGAACAAGUUAAGUACCAUCUCCACCCAGACAUUUGGACUAGAUUGAUGGAUUCUCAGAAAAUGGAAAGUGCUGGUCUUUCUCCCUUGAAGAAUGAUAGGUUCCCAGCACAGAGCUUCUGAAACCCUUGGUGUUUCCUGAGUUGUCGAGUGUUUAUUAUUCAUAAAGCCCUUGGCUCAUAAAUGAGACUACACUAAUGAGACUAACAUAGGCCUCCAGAUAGCUAUGGCCUGGGGCAUGGUCAUCAGCAAGACCAACCCCUUGAUCAGAGAGUUGGGACUUUGAGUCAGGCUGAACUCUGGAGAGAGGAAUGAAGCUAGACAUUGAGUUCAACAUGCCACCAAUGAUUUAAUCAAUUGAACCCCAAGAUACCCUCUGGACACAGGCUCAGUAGAACUUCCUGGUUAAUGGAUGCACUGAUGCACCAGGAGGGUGACCCACACUAAUUUCAUGAGGAGAAGGCAUGGAAGCUCUGAGUUUUGAGGCCUCCCAAACUGUACCUUAUGUAUCUCUUCA